GCGUCAUUAACGAUCUGGCGGCUCUAUUCGCUUGGCGUCUUCAUCGUAUCCAUCCUGGUAUCUUUGUUCCUCCCCAGGAUCGCGGUAUUGCUGGUGUUAGCACUUCUUCCGCUCUACGAAGUGGGUCACCAUCGUCGCUUCCACCGACAUGAGCGCACCCUUUAUCUACUUCGCGACGAUUGAUAGCGUUCCCGAGAAUGAAUAAUGCCGAAAGCCUGGUUUCUAAGGAGAGCCUCAUCGGAAGCCCAGUUUCCGAGAAGACUAG
rnacentral:misc_RNA from 1 species